CAUGUAACGCCAUUAGGGGUAGGAAGCCUGGAACUAUUCUCCGGUGGAAAGCCAGCAACCCAGCAGGAGAACGCUGGACUCCUGCACUGUUGCAGUUGCAACAGCCUGGGAAAUUCAAAAGUCUGUGGCAUGACUGAAGAAGCCACACUGGGCCUGGGAACAGGAACUGGCCCAGGCGUGUGUAACAAGGAGCUGACAUUUGAGAUGCUAAUCCUGCUGCCUGAUCUGUUUGAAGAGGGCUGAAGAACCAGAUGACAGGUUGGCCUCUCCAGUCUUCCCAUGUGCUGAGAUCCUCAGGAACAGUCCCCUCCCCCUCCCCCUCCCCUCUGACCCCAUUCCUGUGUGCCCAGUGCUCCCAUGUGGAAAGACAGCAUCUUCCUUUGGCGGGGUGCCCCCAUUCCAUGGCUUUGUGCUCAAUGUUCCCUAAACAAGUGCUCUCAGCCUGGCUCUUA